GAUGAACGCUGGCGGCGUGCCUAAUACAUGCAAGUCGAGCGAACGGACGAGAAGCUUGCUUUUCUGAUGUUAGCGGCGGACGGGUGAGUAACACGUGGAUAACCUACCUAUAAGACUGGGAUAACUUCGGGAAACAGGAGCUAAUACCGGAUAAUAUUUUGAACCGCAUGGUUCAAAAGUGAAAGACGGUCUUGCUGUCACUUAUAGAUGGAUCCGCGCUGCAUUAGCUAGUUGGUAAGGUAACGGCUUACCAAGGCAACGAUGCAUAGCCGACCUGAGAGGGUGAUCGGCCACACCGGAACUGAGACACGGUCCAGACUCCUACGGGAGGCAGCAGUAGGGAAUCUUCCGCAAUGGGCGAAAGCCUGACGGAGCAACGCCGCGUGAGUGAUGAAGGUCUUCGGAUCGUAAAACUCUGUUAUUAGGGAAGAACAUAUGUGUAAGUAACUGUGCACAUCUUGACGGUACCUAAUCAGAAAGCCACGGCUAACUACGUG
rnacentral:rRNA from 1 species